rnacentral:rRNA from 1 species
GCGCGAAAACUUUACAAUGCUGGCAACAGCGAUGAGGGAACCUCGAGUGCCAGGUUACAAAUCUGGCUGUCGAGAUGCCUUUAAAGCAUUUCAUAGCAAGGGCCGGGCAAGACCGGUGCCAGCCGCCGCGGUAACACCGGCGGCCCGAGUGGUAACCGUUAUUAUUGGGUCUAAAGGGUCUGUAGCCGGCCGGAUAAGUCUCUUGAGGAAUCUGGCAGCUUAACUGUCAGGCUUUCAGGAGAUACUGUCUGGCUCGAGGCCGGGAGAGGUGAGAGGUACUUCAGGGGUAGGGGUGAAAUCUUGUAAUCCUUGAAGGACCACCAGUGGCGAAGGCGUCUCACCAGAACGGACCUGACGGCAAGGGACGAAAGCUAGGGGCACGAACC